AGGCUGUGAAAAUCACAGCACUGUGCCAAGCACAUUCUUGGUUUUCAUCCUAAUGCCUCCACAUACAUAAAUAAAAUGUGCAAGAGAAAGCAGCCUAUUAGGGGACAAUGAGGGAAGAGUAGUUAUUCUGGUUAUCCUAAGUAGUUAAUGAAGAUUCAAAGAAAAAGAGGUGUGGUCAUAGUCAGUCCUACUUGUUUGCUAUGGAGAACAGGAACUCAUGUUGAGGACCCAGUCAUGUUUAGAUAUUGUUUGUAAGCCUGAACUGGCAUUCCAAACCAUGGUCCAGAUUGAGGAAGCCCAGAUAGAGGUUCAAUUUUUGCACCAAUGGCUGUGUAUACCAAGGAAUCAUCUCAGGUGGGAUUUGUGUAAUAUAGAUGGACUCCAUAGACAACUUCCAGGGGAAAGAGUGGUCAUUGGAAACAAUCUGUGUGUGCCAUCCCUAUUUGGAAUCAAUACUCCAUAAUAAGGACUAAGCCUCUGAAAGUACGGCUCAUGAGAUCUAAAAGCAGAACCCUAAUUAUCUACUGAAGACCAGCUGAACAUCCAGCCAUCCAGCCUUGUGGACCUAACAGCUACUGGAUUCUUGGACAUUCCAUUCGUAGACAGCCAUUGUUGAAUAACUUGACUGGACUAUAGCCUGUACGCCAUUCUGUUCCUCUAGAGAACCCUAACUAACACACAUUACUAUGAUUGAAUUUAAAUUGGAAUUGUAAGGCGAAAUAGCUCUUUUAGACCCUAUAUUGCUUUUGUCAGGAUAUUUUAUCACAACAACAGAAGUGAAAUUAGAAGAAAUUCCUAAGCAAGGCUGACCGGAACAAAUUCAGAGUUGACAAGUCCUAUGGAGUGAAUAUAUCUCCCCAACAUUCAUGUGCUGAAGCCCUAGCCCCCAAUGUAUCCAGUUUGAAGAUGAAUAGGGAUUUUAAAGAGGUACUUAAGGCUGAAUGAGGUAAUGAGAGUAGAUCUUAACACAAAAAUAACAGUGUCGUAAUGAGAUGGGAUGCAGCUGUUUCCUCUGGGCCAUCAGCUAUCAUAGAUUAGAAAUCCAUACAGUGACCUACAGAGUAUCCUGGCUCUGAAGUCAUGGAAGCUUGGUAAACAAAACAGCAGAGUGAUCCACGGUAUUGGGACCACUAAAUUCUUCCCUAGGAGUGGAGAUAGGAGGGUCACUAGACCCUCUCUGGAUGUUCUGGCUGCCACUCCCUCCAGCCUGCUAGCUACUUGUGGUGUUAGGCUGCUAGAAGCUAUAACAGGUGGAGGAUUAAUUGCCGAUGGGACUCAAGUGAUGCAUUUUUUUCAUGAGUUGUGUCUCCCUUGUUGGGGAUGGGGUUUUGGUAACAUCUGUAACUAACCUCAAUAAAAUUUAUGACGUCGCAAACUG